GACGAACGCUGGCGGCGUGCUUAACACAUGCAAGUCGAACGGAAAGGCCCUGCUUUUGUGGGGUGCUCGAGUGGCGAACGGGUGAGUAACACGUGAGUAACCUGCCCUUGACUUUGGGAUAACUUCAGGAAACUGGGGCUAAUACCGGAUAGGAGCUCCUGCUGCAUUGUGGGGGUUGGAAAGUUUCGGCGGUUGGGGUUGGACUCGCGGCUUAUCAGCUUGUUGGUGGGGUAGUGGCUUACCAAGGCUUUGACGGGUAGCCGGCCUGAGAGGGGGACCGGCCACAAUGGGACUGAGAUAGGGACCAGACUGCAACGGGGGGCAGCAGGGGGGAGUAUUGCACAGUGGGCGGAAGCCGGAUACAGCGGCGCCGCGUGCGGGAUGACGGCCUUCGGGUUGAAAACCGCUUUCGCCUGAGACGAAGCGUGUGUGACGGUAAUGGGUGAAGAAGCACCGGCUAACUACGUG
rnacentral:rRNA from 1 species